rnacentral:rRNA from 1 species
UACGAAGGGGCUAGCGUUGCUCGGAAUCACUGGGCGUAAAGCGCACGUAGGCGGCUUUCUAAGUCAGGGGUGAAAUCCUGGAGCUCAACUCCAGAACUGCCUUUGAUACUGGAGAGCUCGAGUCCGGAAGAGGUGAGUGGAACUGCGAGUGUAGAGGUGAAAUUCGUAGAUAUUCGCAAGAACACCAGUGGCGAAGGCGGCUCACUGGCCGGUACUGACGCUGAGGUGCGAAAGCGUGGGGAGCA